rnacentral:misc_RNA from 1 species
UCAAGAGCUCGAGGGGGG